GCCGGCUUAGCUCAGCUGGUAGAGCAGGGGUUUUGUAAACCUCAGGUCGGCGGUUCGAUUCCGUCAGCCGGCACCA
rnacentral:tRNA from 2 species